GUCAACUUAGAGUUGAGGAUCUCAGUCCUCAGUGAAGAGGAAGGAGGAGAGAAUGAAAUCUUUGAGUGUUUCACUAGUCAUCCUGUGGUUGCAGUUAAACUGGGUGAGCAGCCAGCAGAAGGUGCAACAGAAUCCAGAAUCUGUCAUUGUCCCAGAGGGAGACAUGACCUUUCUCAACUGCACUUUUAGCAGCAGUGCUUCUCAGUCCUUCUGGUGGUACCAACAGCAUCCUUCGAAAGUCCCGAAGGCACUGAUAUCCAUAUUCUCUGAUGGCAACAAGAAAGAAGGCAGAUUCACAGUUCACCUCAAUAAAGCCAGCCUACGUGUUUCCCUGCACAUCAGAGACUCCCGUCCUGGUGACUCUGCUCUCUACUUCUGUGCAGUGAGCACACAGUGCUCCCCAGGCACCUGCAGCCUGCAUGCAAACCUAUUGUACAGCAGCUAG